AAGAGAGCUAUGUGAAGCAGGCUUUAUCAUUCUCAUUUCACAGAUGAGGAAACAAAGACCAACAAUGUCGAAGAAACCUGGCCGAUAUCACACAGCUAGCAAAUAAGAAAGACAGGACUGGAUCUUGGGUCUUGGAAAUAAGUGGAUAGCAUUAUGUGGCUGUUACUUAGAUAUAUUAAAAAUGCUCACUACACGACAAAAUGUGGGAAGGGGAACGUCUCUGUAGCAACUGCGGGAGGGUCUGCCCUUGCUUCCCGGAAGCGUGAGCUGCCCCCCUGGCCCCACCCCAUCAGAGCUCAGCAGAGGAACAAGCAAGGGGCUGGUGAGCUGCGGGCCAGGUGCCGUCCGUCAGCAAACAGCCUGCCGGAGGCCCCUGAGGUCUGCGAGGCCAGGCAGCAAGCAGCCCUCGAGGCCCGCCGCGUCCCCACCCAACCUCGGUCUUGCUCUGACCCUGCAUUCAUGUCUCAGGCACCGGAUGGUGUGGGAGCAACUCAGAGAACGAACACCGGGCUGGGGAGGUGAGGGCUGCCAGGGAAUACAGUGCAGAGAAGAAAACCCUAGUCCUCUACUCCCCGCUGGUCCUGCCUGCCCCGUUUUCUAAGAACGGGCAGCCGGCCGAGGGAUUAUGUAAGUUCUGGUGGGCAUGGCAGAUGGUGUGCUGGCUCAGACACAUCAAAGCCGGCCCUGACGCUAACCUUCCCUGACGUGGCACCCCGGCCUCCUCUGCUCUGGGGUGUGGAGCACGCAGAAGGAUGGGAAGUGACCCAAACGCUGUCAUCUAGCUCAAUAGCCAUGACCAGCCGGGUUAGGGGAAAGGCCAGGGCCUACCUACCAGCGGGAGGGUCCAGCCAGGGAAGUGAAAUCAUGGGCCCUUCCAGCCCCAUAGCAAGCAGCUCUCGGAUGAACCGCAUGGUGUCUGGGGCAACAGACCCUGCUCUGCCCACCUCCUUGCAUCGCAGAUCGGCUCCGGAGCAAAUUCCAGAGGAGACCCCACUGCCCCUAGAGGGCUGCGGCAUGAGCCUGACCCAGGUCAGAGAGCAGAUCUCCAAACCCUAGGUGCCGCCACUGUUCUUGCGAGAGAAAAGCCCAGACUGGGAGAGAAAGGAGCGCCGUGGGACCCGCGGUUUGCCCACCCCAUGGGGGCGCAUUGGCCGCGACGGAGCGGGGCCGAGUGCGAAUCUGACUCGCCCGCCCGCCCGGGGCCCGGCUCCGCAAAGUGGCUCGGCAAAGUGAGGGUCGGGAGGCAUUCCCCGGGCGGCCGGGGCUCCCCCCGAGCGCAGGCCCACGGGGGGAGGGGGGCGCCCCAGCCGCAACUCCGGAAGCAAAUCGAAGGGGGCAGUGCAUGAAUUCCCCCCACCUGCCCGAAAGUGCCCUUCCUCGUAUUAUCUUCAUUACGGUAUUUUAAAUUUCCCUUUAAAAAAAAAUAAAGAAACGAAACAGAAAAA